AUUGAACGCUGGCGGAAUGCUUUACACAUGCAAGUCGAACGGCAGCACGGGGCAACCCUGGUGGCGAGUGGCGAGCGGGUGAGUAAUACAUCGGAACGUGCCCAGUCGUGGGGGAUAACGUAGCGAAAGUUACGCUAAUACCGCAUACGAUCUACGGAUGAAAGCGGGGGACCGUAAGGCCUCGCGCGAUUGGAGCGGCCGAUGUCAGAUUAGGUAGUUGGUGAGGUAAAGGCUCACCAAGCCGACGACCUGUAGCUGGUCUGAGAGGACGACCAGCCACACUGGGACUGAGACACGGCCCAGACUCCUACGGGAGGCAGCAGUGGGGAAUUGUGGACAAUGGGCGCAAGCCUGAUCCAGCCAUUCCGCGUGCAGGACGAAGGCCUUCGGGUUGUAAACUGCUUUUGUACGGAACGAAAAGGCUCUGGUUAAUACCUGGGGCUCAUGACGGUACCGUAAGAAUAAGCACCGGCUAACUACGUGCCAGCCGCCGCAGUAA
rnacentral:rRNA from 1 species